rnacentral:rRNA from 1 species
UACGUAGGGUGCGAGCGUUAAUCGGAAUUACUGGGCGUAAAGCGUGCGCAGGCGGUUGUGCAAGACCGAUGUGAAAUCCCCGGGCUUAACCUGGGAACUGCAUUUGUGACUGCACGGCUAGAGUACGGCAGAGGGGGAUGGAAUUCCGCGUGUAGCAGUGAAAUGCGUAGAUAUGCGGAGGAACACCAAUGGCGAAGGCAGUCCCCUGGGCCUGUACUGACGCUCAUGCACGAAAGCGUGGGGAGCAAACAGG